rnacentral:lncRNA from 1 species
AGCCAGACCUGGAGGGCUUGGGUAAAAAUGGCUGAAUAUUUAGCUUCGAUAUUCGGGACUGAGAAGGACAAAUCGGGGUCUGCCGGCACGGGGACCGGUGCUCCCGGCUUCACAACAAGCCGACAUUCAGCCAGGAGGUGUUCACAGAACUGCAGGAGAAGUAUGGGGAGAUUGAAGAGAUGAAUGUGUGCGACAACCUUGGGGACCACCUCGUGGGCAACGUCUAUGUCAAGUUCCGGAGGGAGGAGGAUGGAGAGCGGGCCGUGGCUGAACUCAGUAACCGCUGGUUCAACGGGCAGGCUGUGCACGGGAAUGUACCCGAGGUGGCUUCUGCAACUUCAUGCAUCUGCGGCCCAUUUCCCAGAACCUCCAGAGGCAGCUCUAUGGGCGGGGACCCAGGCGCAGGCUCCCGGGCUCCAUAAUGUAAUCUGUUCAGCAUGGAGACCUUCUUCUACCGCCCCUGUCUUAAUAAAGCUGCGUGUUUCACUUCGGCAUCAACUUGCUUUUGCUGUGGUUUGGCAUUUCCCUCCACCCACACAUGUGACGAAAAGGGGAAACAAG